rnacentral:ncRNA from 1 species
AGAACUAUAUGACUGAGAGGUGGAAUGACGGAGUAACGCCCUGAAACGCCUCCCCUAAUACUCCGAUAUGCGAUGCAAUUCUAACUAAGUUGCAUGGUAUAAAGCUCGGUGAAGUCGGUUGAGAACUACUCCUAACAUGUUAUGAUGAGGAAAUGCGAACCAGAGGUGGUCGAGGUAGUGAUAGACCGGGGGUCGA